AUUGUACAAGGCUGGAAAAGGACACGUCAUCAUUCUGACGUGUGGUUCACACAUCUCUUAUGUUAAAAUGCCAUUACUGCUCAGAAAGCUUUUGCUAGGCAAACAGAUUUUGGAGGCUUUCUGAGUGGCUGACAUGCAGUCUUACUGAUGUCUGAAGCUUUCAGCUUCCAGAUAUUUCCAAAAGCAGACCUCCUAAACCCCCCUGUGCUACUUUUAGCACUGAGGGAACUCACGAAUGUGGCAAGAAAAUAGGUCAGAAGAAGCAAGUGUUUGGGUACUAAUCAGAAAUGGAAAAAACAUAGGUGAAGAAUUUUAGCAGAAUCAAGAUUUCUUUAUCUACUCUUGUUUUUAAGGUGAUAAGACACUAAAAUUGCAACAGAUGUAUUCCACAGCAGAGGCAAAGGGAAGCUGAAUUAAUCUUCUCCAAACUCUUAGCAGGGACAGUUAAUUUUCGUUUGUGGGCUGUGAAAGUGCCAGUUUUUAUUAUUUCCUAGGACUUAACAAACAGAAAGCGUGAGCGAAGGAGGAAAGGAAGACUCAUUUGUUUUUUCUGACAUAGAAAUUCACGUUCAUCAGUUCCCUUUUUCUAAGGACUCAUUGAGACAGCAAGAAAGUUAAAACACCUUUGCUCUCAGAGAUCGGAGAUAAAUAUCCUUUUUUUUUUUUUUUUUUCAGGCAGUAAGAAGGAAAUAUUGCACAUCUCUAUCUCUGGAGUUGUCUGGCUAAUUUACUGUGUUACUGCUCCUCUCAGACAAGAAAUCUCCCAGCCACAGCACAGCUUCUGGACCUAUGUUGAUGAUAUUGGAUUCCCCAUGACUAAGGGACAUGCUGUAGCGUGGCACUCCAUAGGUCAUGUUGAUGGUUGGACUUGAUGAUUUUGAAGGUCUUUUCCAACCUAAAUUUUACUUCUGUGAUUCUAUGACAAGCUGCAAAACCUGAAAGUCGGGAGAUGUGGCUGGGCACAUGCCAGGUCCUGUACUGCAGCCCUGACGUUAAGUGAGGGGUGAUAUUUAGGGUGUAAUGUGUGUUAGACAAGCUCUGUGAUUUUGUGGAUGUACGCUGCCCACAGUAGCAAGCACUUAAUGCAUCAUUAGAUUUUGCAAUAAUUGGCUAUCACAAGCUCCUUUACAAGAGGAGAAGUGAUUUUCUUGGCAUCACAUCGUGUGUAAUUGUGCCAUUAGUCAUGUGCCAGUGCCAGUAUGUUUGACUUGUUUGUUGUAUAAUGUUUCAGGUGAAUCCUACUUAAGAUUUAUUCUUUAAUGUUCACCAUGCCAAUGUAAAACAUAUAGUUUGAGCAUACCUUUUGCCAUCAGGUUGGAAAAAAUGCACCUUGAUGCAAAAAGGGUGUCGAGAUUUGAAACUUCUCAAUGACAAAUGAUAGAGACAUCAAGUACCUUGUUCCUGUAUAUCACUGCUUUGACUAUGACGUGCUUUUUAUAAAACACUGUGGGUUUUAUUCUUGUCCCCAGAAUACCCUUGGAACUGAGGCGUACAGUCCCAGCAGCGUUAUUAUGCUGACAGAAAAGAUUUUAAUUUUUAGGCAGUUAUAAAAUAUAUGAAUGCAGGCAUAACGUCUUAAUUGCAUAAUGUAAUACCAGGAAUAGCUCACCAGUCAUGUUAAUCAGAUCAUCAUUCACUCAAAAUCCCAAUCAUUUGCAGUAUCGGUUGUCUAAAUGGAGGUCAGAAAAGACGCUGGUAGGUCAGUAAUUAGUGCUGCUAUUGAAAGCUUGUGCUCAGUGGAUGGGACAGUAAUUAGGACUUAUAUGAAACUUGAAAUAUUUUACAUGAGUGGCUGGUACAGUCUUGUUGUUUCUUUUUUUUCUCGUGUUCCUAUGAAUUCUCAUCCACUUGACUUUAAUACUUCUUGAUUGGAACAGUCCACAAACUAAAGGAAGAACUGUCUUCAAAUCGUUAGCUCUUCAGUCUUUUUCAGUUAACGCAGCUGAUGUAAAGCCAGUGUUUUCAAAUUAAUCCGAAGUCUGUACGGCACUGCAUCUGUUCCAUUCAGUUAUGUCCAUUUAAAAUAAUUAUAAUAGAAAUUCCGCCUUGCUGAGAAAGCUCCACACAGCUGGAGUCCUCCUGCUAACCUGUAUAAAACCAACAGGCAGCACAUCUUUCUUGUUAGCAAUUCUGCACAGUGCCAGUACAUUUCAAAGCACUUGGAUUGCUACAAGUAACGUCAGGAAGACUGAAAAGACGAAUAAGAAUGUUGUGGGCAUUUUUAGGAAAACUAAUAUAUUAAAUAAGCAAAGGAUAAU
rnacentral:lncRNA from 1 species